UGAGGCACAGGAAGUGAGGUGGAGAACAGACUCUGGAGUUCACUCACUUCCUGUGGACAGGGCUAGAGUCAGUUAGAUUCUGGAGCUCGAGCUGGGAGGAGGCCCACAGACAGCUUUCCUUCAAAUCAGUCAUGGGAAAAGUCUUUAACCAGAUGAGAUCAUAGUAUUACCAUGAUAUUAAUUGAUGAUAGCAUGAAGAGAAGGGAUAAGGAGAGGUGAGAGGAGACUACUGAACAGAUCUCUGAAGGAAGUCACAAAUUCCAAAAAGUGGACAUGAGGAAGGAGAGUAUUCCAGGUAUUCUUCAGCAGCAAUUGACCUCUACUUAUCCACUUCACCUGGUUCAUGUAUUUUGAAGCUAAUAGUAAGCUAAAAAAUGCAGAAGAGAAGAAAAAGAAAUAUGAACAGUUGUUGAAUAAUUCCUACAAAGGAAAGUUUAAAUACCUGGAAAGUUACAUCUACAGAAAUCAAGAUUCGUCCCUUCUGAAAGAAAUGUCAGGAGUAUGGGUGCCAGAUGAUAAGAAUAAAAGCACUUGCUGUAUGACCAGCAUUGUUGUAGCCUCGAGUCUAGACAAAACAGAGACACUCUGUGUCCUGAAAGAGGCUGGCUAAACCUUCUGAGGGUAGCCAUCGGGUCAUCGACCCCUGGUGAACCAGGGCUUUGCUCACCCAGCAUGUGAAGACUGCUUUGGCGGAACAGGCAGAAGAAACCAACAAGAAGGUUCAAUGGCUGAGAUGGUGAUGCAGCAAAGCACUGUGGAGUGCUCAGGGCAUGUUGGAGCACAAAGGACAACACGGCCAUCCAAUGCAGCUGAGGAAGUCUCCAGACAUAACAAUUUUUUGUGCCAAUGGACCCAGGUUUCCAAUGCCGAGAGAGUGGGACUGUCUCUGUGCAUCGACUUUUCCACUUAAUUCUUCAUGCACAAGUGUCUUUGUGCACAAAGACAAUCGUCAUCCUCGGUUCGAGAGACAACCAACAUAUAUAUUUUAUGUGUGUAUAUACAUGCCUAUAUAUUUUAUAUAUCAUAUAUAAAAUAGAUUUAAAAUCAAUACAGUUUCUAAGAAGAAAGCAUUAACAAUUGAAGAGGGAUAAGGAAGGACUUCAUAUAGAAGAUUGGCACCUUUGCUGAGUUUUGAAGGAGAGCAGGGAUUCUGUGAAGUGUAGGUGAUGGGCGACUGCAUUGUAUUUUAUUUUAUUUUAUUUUUUAAUUCUAUACAUUUUAUUUUAUUAAUUAAAAGUAUGAUUCUGAAAAAAGGGGCAUAUUCUCUAUAUUACCAAAGAGACACAUGAAUGAUGCAAAAAAGUAAAGAAUCUCUGCUCUACAGAACCAGGAGAACAUUGUACACUGUGGUACAAUCCAAUGUAAUGGACUUCUCCAUUAGUGGCAAUGCAGUGAUCCUGAACAACUUGGAGGGAUCUAUGAGAAAUAACACUAUCCACAUUCAGAGGAAAAACUGUGGGAGUAAAAACAGAAGAAAAACAACUGCUUGGUUAAAUGGGUUGAGGGGAUAUGAUUGGAGAUGUAGACUCUAAAUUAUCACCCUAGUUCAAAAUGAUCAAUAAUAGGGAAAUAGGUCUUGAUCAAGGGCACAUGUAAAACCCAGUGGAACCACACAUUGGCCAAGGGAAGGGGUGUGGGGAGGAGAGGGAAAGAAUAUGAUUCUUGUUACCAAGGAAUAAUGCUCCAAAUAGACUAAUUAAAUAAAAAUUUCAAAAUACCUCA
ensembl:lncRNA